rnacentral:lncRNA from 1 species
GAGAGAACAAGGGCAACUCUACCCAUGACCCAGUUAGUAGGUGUUCUUAUUUAAGAGUUAUAACAAAGUACUACAAUUUUUUCCUUUACUUAAAAAGAUUAAAAUCGCAUAGCCUUGUUAUAAAGAAAGCAAAUCUGGAGAACUGCAGGAAGCAGCAUCUUAGCUUUGUCCUCGGAACCUCCCCCUCCUGUUUCUCAGAGGACACCAACGGUAACGCUGUGUUUACAUUCUCUGAACUGGAACUGUUGAUGAAGAUUCCAGAAACCUUGUCAAAACUGCACUUAGGACAAUGUCAGCAGUCCAGAAUGUUUCUCCAUGCAAGCUGCAGAAAGCCUCAGGAAAGAAAAACAACUCAUCUGAGCUUUCUUUAUUUAAACAUCAACAACAGAAAGAGGGCAUCUGGGCAAGUCUGUAAAGGCACUGAAAUCAAAUACGAAGACAGAAUUAAAAAUGGAGACCGCUGAGAACCAGUGGACAAACGCAGUUCUAAACUGACUCAAGAGUUGUGAUAAAAACAGCCAUGAAUGGCCCACAAGUAGGUCAAAAAGAAGAUAGUUUUAAUUCGUACUUUAAAGUAUAUGGAACAAACUACACUUUGGCCAAAAAAAAAGGGGGUCCACACCAGCAAGAACCCUGGCAGACAAAGGGCAAACCUCAACCAAUAAGAAAGCAGGAUGAUGUCUACUAAGAAGAAACAUGUUUAGAGUUGAAGUUUAGAGUAAUCUUAACACCAAUAAAUGGCUAUUUCUAGU